rnacentral:rRNA from 1 species
AGAGUGAACGCUGGCGGUAGGCCUAACACAUGCAAGUCGAACGGCAGCACAGUAGGAGCUUGCUCUUACGGGUGGCGAGUGGCGGGACGGGUGAGGAAUACAUCGGAAUCUACCUUUUGGUGGGGGAUAAACGUAGGGAAACUUACGCUAAUACCGCAUACCGCCCGUUCGGGGGAAACGGCCGGGGACCGAGCAAUGGCCUGGCGCUGAUAGAUGAGCCGAUGU